rnacentral:rRNA from 1 species
AGUGAACGCUGGCGGUAGGCCUAACACAUGCAAGUCGAACGGCAGCACAGUAAGAGCUUGCUCUUACGGGUGGCGAGUGGCGGACGGGUGAGGAAUACAUCGGAAUCUACUUUUUCGUGGGGGAUAACGUAGGGAAACUUACGCUAAUACCGCAUACGACCUACGGGUGAAAGCAGGGGAUCUUCGGACCUUGCGCGAUUGAAUGAGCCGAUGUCGGAUUAGCUAGUUGGCGGGGUAAAGGCCCACCAAGGCGACGAUCCGUAGCUGGUCUGAGAGGAUGAUCAGCCACACUGGAACUGAGACACGGUCCAGACACCUACGGGAGGCAGCAGUGGGGAAUAUUGGACAAUGGGCGCGAGCCUGAUCCAGCCAUACCGCGUGGGUGAAGAAGGCCUUCGGGUUGUAAAGCCCUUUUGUUGGGAAAGAAAAGCAGCAGGUUAAUACCCCGCUGUUCUGACGGUACCCAAAGAAUAAGCACCGGCUAACUUCGUG